rnacentral:rRNA from 1 species
UACGUAGGGGGCAAGCGUUGUCCGGAUUCAUUGGGCGUAAAGAGCGUGUAGGCGGCCAGGUAGGUCGGUUGUGAAAACUCGAGGCUCAACCUCGAGACGUCGGCGGAAACCAUCUGGCUAGAGUCCGGAAGAGGAGAGUGGAAUUCCUGGUGUAGCGGUGAAAUGCGCAGAUAUCAGGAAGAACACCCGUGGCGAAGGCGGCUCUCUGGGACGGUACUGACGCUGAGACGCGAAAGCGUGGGGAGCAAACAGG